UAGUGGUGAAUUAGUUAAACAGAUUUAGCUC
rnacentral:piRNA from 1 species